ensembl:snRNA U4 U4 spliceosomal RNA
AUCUUUACACAGUGGCAGUAUCGUAGCCUAUGAGGUUUAUCCGAGGCAUGAUUAUUGCUAAUUGAAAACUUUACCCAAUACCCCGCCGUGAUGACAUGAAAUAUAGUUGGAACUGGCAAAUUUUGACGGUCUCUACAGAGA